UGGGGAAUCUUGCACAAUGGGGGAAACCCUGAUGCAGCGACGCCGCGUGAGCGAUGAAGGUUUUCGAAUCGUAAAGCUCUGUCCUAUGGGAAGAUAAUGACGGUACCAUGGGAGGAAGCCCCGGCUAACUACGUGCCAGCAGCCGCGGUAAUACGUAGGGGGCGAGCGUUGUCCGGAAUUACUGGGCGUAAAGGGUUCGCAGGCGGCAUGGCAAGUCCGAUGUAAAAGGCGAAGGCUCAACCUUCGUAAGCAUCGGAAACUGUCAAGCUUGAGUGAAGGAGAGGCAAGUGGAAUUCCUAGUGUAGCGGUGGAAUGCGUAGAUAGUAGGAGGAAUACCGGUGGCGAAGGCGACUUGCUGGACUUCAACUGACGCUGAGGAACGAAAGCGUGGGUAGCAAACAGG
rnacentral:rRNA from 1 species